GCAUGUUUGGAAGGCUAACUGUUAUGUGAUUGCACACAGCUACAAGAUCAGCAGCCAGAGCACCAUCUGCGCACACAGCUUAUCCAUACUGCCCGGCUUCGACACAAAGGAAUGUGUCAGCUCCUACUUUUUCAAAUCGUCUGAAAGCCUCCAUUGUGUUCCAGUGAAAUUCUGCAGCCAUUCCCUGAAGAGCUAAUCCCUCUCCCCAGCAUGUCCAACUGGCAUAUCCUUCCUUCAGCAAGAAGCUCUUCCUGCAGCACUGCUGUCACAGCUUGGAGCUGAGAAGGUUCAGCUGUUCUUCAGUGUCACCUCCCUGCCCUGUGAGCUGCAGAAUGAUCAUCCUGGGGAAUGAUUUCUUACAGAUAUCAACAGACACAUUUUCUUCUCAGUAAUGUGCUCCUUUUCCCUGCAGCUCUACCAUCAGCAACAUUAUGAAAUUGCUUUAUUAAAAGGUGCAAAAGAAGCAUGCAAAGGCAGGAACAAAAGGAGAAUGCAAGAACCAGAAGAAAAAUACACCUUCUUCAUGGCCAGCAUUUGAAAUCAUAUUUCUUCUCUUAUCAUUCAUGGUAUCCUCUUCUUGAUGCUCCAGAACUGCUGCUGCUGCUGAGAAAGAUAUUGCUACAAAUUGUUAAAGUUAGUAAUUUCUCCAAAGUAAUCACCACAUUAUCAGGAAUUGAAACAGUCUAAUUAUUUGCUGUGAUGGAUCAGCACUCUUGCAUUGCGUAACAAAGGCGAGAAGAGAAAAAAUCCUGUCACUGAGUUAUCCACAUGAUCCCAAAGGAAGCGAGGUUCUUGUUUCUGAAGCUUGUUCAUUGAAGAACAGAAACCUCAGAGCAGGAACAGCCCCAGACCUCCUUCUGCUUUUCAGUAUAAAACACACUCAGCACGAGUUUUCACCUGUGGAUGACAUAUUAAGUUCACUGACAUAAUGGUGCAGGCAAAAAGGGGAAAAGAAUUUUUUUUUCACUUGCCCUCUUAUUGGUAGAAGUGCCAGAAGUGUGCUUACCCUCAUAGUGUUACAUUUAAAUCAACCCUUGUCACGAGUGACAGAUCUACAGUCUUGUUUAUGCUGCUGUGACUGCACUACAUUUUAUCUGUGAAAAAAAAAUCUAGGUAUUUACAUUAGGAGGUAGCUGACCUGACUCUUGGUUUUCUUUGAGUUACUGGUAUCCAUUAAAUCCAGGCAUCAAAAUUCUCAGCCCUGGUUAAGUUUAAACAGUAUUUCUGUUCACCACCAUAGGAUGAAAUUGCCAUCUAAGUAUAAUAAAAAAUCAGACUCUCUAACUUAGAGAAAUCUUUGGAGCCUUGCUUAGCUGCUGCUUUCACUGUUCUAAUGCUUAUGUCUGCAUAAAGCAGUGAGAAGAAUAAAAGAUGAGGGACUGAGUCAAUACAGUUUUAUCAGGCUUGUCAAAAGCUCCUUGUCCAAACUUUUUUCUUCUAAAAGUGAACUCCUGGGCAGCAGAGCUUCUUCCCCUCUCUGCAGCAGCCUUCAGUGUGACAUGCUCUGUCAUGAUGUGGUUUUUCCCUGCCAGCACCAUUGCAAGGAGGGUCAUGGCCCAGAGGUUUUUAUGUGCAUGUGAAUGAGGAGUCACAUUUUUUUACAGUAACUACAGAUAUUUGGGCUCUUGCCACCACCUUUGAUUUUGAUGCAGGGUGUGCUUCACAAGUGGUUCCAGAAGAGAAAGUUCCCACUGGAGAGCAACAAGUCUGCAUCUAGACUCAACCAUGACAGGGCUGAGUCUCAAGCACUGGUACGUCUGUACUGGCACAGCAGUCCACAAUGGGCUGAGUUUGCCUGACCCAUUUUAGGUGAAGCAGCUCAAAUGAUUUCUUCUGAUAGCAGAUGCUUGUGCAUACAAUGGAAAAAUGCUUGGGAAAAGCUGCAUUUCAGUGCAGUUCUCUUGCUUUUCAGCAGCACAUUUCAUGAUUUGAAAAUCUUACCCCUUCAGAUGUAGGCAAAAAAGGUCAAACACUGUUGUUUGAGAAGAGCACAGGAGCAAGUGCACAGCCAUUUUCAUUGCUCCAUUAAAGAGUACUAAGGCUAAGGACAGGCUGAGGGAGCUGGGUUGUUCAGCCUGCAGGGAGACCUUAUAGCAGCUUUCAGUACAUGAAGGGGACCUACAGGAUAUUGGAGAGGGAAUUUUUUAUGAGGAUAUGUGGUAAUAGGACAAGCAGCAGUGUUUUUAAACUACAGCAGGGUAGAUUUAGAUUAGACAUUAGGAAGAAGUUCAUUACUACAAGUAUGGUGAGACACUGGAGCAGGAUGCCCAGACAAGUUGUGGAUGCCUCAUCCCUGAAAGUGUAUUAAGACCAGGCUGGAUGAGACUUUGAGCAACCUGGUCUAGUGGAAGGCAUCCCAGCUCAUGGCACAGGGCUUGGAAGUAGAGGAUCUUUAAGGUCCCUUCAUUAACUCAAGCCAUUCUAUGAUAUGACAUACUAUGGUAUGAGACAGAGCUGCAGAACCCUACUUCUGUCCAGCUGUGACACUCCUACUGAUCUUCCAACAGCGGAGGUCAAGACCUAUGAAGACCCCUCCAGAUGAGCCCACUGUAAAAAUUAUACUGAUUUUCCUUUGAAGGCAGGACUCAGACUGUGUUUGCAGAGAACCUCCAGUGAAUUUCGCUGCUAUGCAUGUCUUAAAAAGUCUGAAUUGCUCUGUAAAAGAGUGCCACUGGAAGUUGGCCUCUCUCAUUUCUCCGCCACACUAGGAUUCUAGUCCUAGAUUUUAUUCAUUAUGAGAUCUUCCAAGAGGGAUAGCUGUUUACAGAUGAGUAUUAUAUGCAUAGCUUAACAACUGAAGUUUCUUACAAAAAACAGGUUUUAUAGUCACUACCAAAGGCCUCUGUCUUUUAAUUAUAGUACGUUGCAGAAAAUCACAAGAGAGAAACCAUGAUCUUCACUAUAUAUGAUAUUUGUGUACAUCUGGAACUAUUAUAAUAUAAAAAUAAGGGUACAGAUGCUGUUGACAAAUAGUGCUUGUGUUGUGACAAGGUAAUGGAGUUCUGGGAGAAAUUAACUGACCCUAUAGGCUACCACUGCUGCUCUACUACACAGUGCUGACACUUCAGAAACCACAGACUUAUUGAAAUAGGCCAUAAAAACGUGAACAAUUUGCUAACACAUUUGAUGUUGAGGUUGUUGUAUUCUCACUAGGGAAGCUACGUAGACCUUUCCUUGAUUCUAUGAUUCUAACCAGCCUGCAGCCUGUCAGCAAAGGUCUUUAGUUUUUGUUGUUGCUUUCCUCCUACUUGGUCAAUUGAAUCCUACCCUUACCUCCUUACCUCUCACUCUGCCUGAAGAGCUCUUCUUCUCCACCACAGCUUUUGCAGUCAUCUCAGAGUCUGAGGCAAGAGCCUCAAACUUCCAAAAUACCCUACAAAAGAAACCAGCUCCAGCAAAGACACACACCCACCACCUGUGGAUGUUGUUGCAAUGGUUACUGAGCCUGAGCCUAACCCUAGCUAGCCGGGGGGCCCACCAGGCCCCCCGGCCUUUGAAAUCCUCCACCAAGUCACCCGGUGCACACCACAAGGACUCACCAGG